rnacentral:rRNA from 1 species
AGACUGAAACUCAAAGGAAUUGACGGACUCCUACGGGAGGCAGCAGUGGGGAAUUUUGGACAAUGGGCGCAAGCCUGAUCCAGCAAUGCCGCGUGUGUGAAGAAGGCCUUCGGGUUGUAAAGCACUUUUGUCCGGAAAGAAAACCUCCGUCCUAAUACGGUGGGGGGAUGACGGUACCGGAAGAAUAAGCACCGGCUAACUACGUGCCAGCAGCCGCGGUAAAACGUAGGAGACAAACGUUAUCCGGAGUUACUGGGCGUAAAGGGCGUGUAGGUGGUUCUGUAAGUCUGGCGUGAAAUUUCUCGGCUUAACCGAGGCAGGUCGUCGGAUACUGCAGGGCUAGAGGACGGUAGAGGCGUGUGGAAUUCCCGGUGUAGCGGUGAAAUGCGUAGAGAUCGGGAGGAAGGCCGGUGGCGAAGGCGGCGCUCUGGAACGUUUCUGACACUGAGGCUCGAAAGCGUGGGGAGCAAACAGGAUUAGAUACCCUGGUAGUCCACGCUGUAAACGAUGAGUGCUAGUUGUCGGGCGGCAUGCCGUUCGGUGACGCAGCUAACGCAUUAAGCACUCCGCCUGGGGAGUACGGUCGCAAGAUUAAAACUUAAAGGAAUUGACG